GCCCGGUCUCCGGGUAAGAUGGCAGCGGACGGACAGUGCUCGCUCCCCGCUUCGUGGCGGCCGGUGACCCUCACCCACGUCGAAUAUCCUGCAGGUGAUCUCUCUGGCCAUCUCCUUGCCUACCUGAGCCUCAGCCCCAUAUUUGUCAUCGUUGGUUUUGUGACCCUCAUCAUAUUCAAGCGGGAGCUGCACACGAUCUCGUUCCUUGGGGGCUUGGCACUGAACGAGGGGGUCAACUGGCUGAUCAAACACGUCAUCCAGGAGCCACGGCCCUGUGGAGGUCCCCACACGGCAGUGGGCACCAAGUACGGGAUGCCCUCCAGCCAUUCCCAGUUUAUGUGGUUCUUCUCCGUCUAUUCCUUCCUUUUUCUGUAUUUAAGAAUGCACCAAACGAACAACGCCAGGUUCCUGGACUUGCUGUGGAGGCAUGUACUCUCCCUGGGUCUCCUCACCGUGGCGUUUCUAGUCUCCUAUAGCAGGGUCUACCUGCUGUACCACACCUGGAGCCAGGUGCUCUAUGGGGGCAUCGCUGGAGGCCUCAUGGCCAUCGCCUGGUUCGUCUUCACGCAGGAGGUCCUCACCCCCCUGUUCCCUAGGAUAGCAGCCUGGCCUAUCUCUGAGUUCUUCCUAAUCCGAGACACGAGCCUCAUUCCCAACGUACUCUGGUUUGAGUACACGGUAACCCGGGCAGAAGCCAGGAACAGACAGCGCAAGCUGGGGACGAAACUGCAGUGACGGGUGAGUGUGGCUGUCUCCAGCCUCCAGAUCUGGCCUGCACGAUGCCUUGCAGGGUGGAUGGAAUGACAGACAGAGGGACGAAGCAGAGACCUCUACAGACCCAAGUCACCGAGUGGAGCCUUUUUUUUCUUAUUUUAAUUUUAAUGAACAAGGUGGACCAAAGGGCUGAGCCAGCCCCUCAGCCAGGACCCUGGAGGGCCUGUUGCCGGGGGGCCUCACAGCCAGAGACCCUCACAGUGCUGCUGCCAGCCCCCAGUUGGGCGGAAAGUGCCCCUGACGUGGGCACUGGGGCAUGGGGUAGAGAAGGAGGGCUUGAAUCUCUGGCCGCAGGGCCAGGAAAUGUAGGUGGCGUGAAAAAUGCACACUAUUUAUUUUUUGGUUUUGUCAAAGGCAGAUGGGAUUUUGGAGAGGGACUGGAAGACCCAGCUCUGCGGGGGCUGCCCUGCGUACCGAGGAGCCCAGGUCAGCUUCCCAGGCCCUUUGCCCUGGGCCCGAGAGAUGGCCUGGGGGCCCAGGAGGAGGGAGCACCCCCAUGCCCCCCCUGCCGCCAACGCCAUUCCAGAACCUCGGUCAGUGUUUCCCGUGUGGGAGCCAGGCCCAGAGAGAGCAGGCGUCUGCGCUGCCAUCGCUGUGUCCUACCCGCAUCGACCCUGCGCUGCAAGGGCUUUCUCUGGUUCCCUGUCCCCAAGACAGCGGUCCCUUUCUGAUGAAAGAGCCUGCGCCUGUGGGUGAGCAAACCCAAGCUGUUUACAGCUCUUUCCUGUCCUGCGUCCGCUAGUGGGUCGUCUUCAUCUCCACCCGAACAAAAUGCAGAGGAAGCAGGAGCUGGUGAGAGGAGUGGGGUAGCGGUGCCUACUGUCCCCACCCUUCCCUCCCCUCUGUGUGCUCUGAGCAUUCCUUGUCCUUCCCGACCCCCCUCCGAGAGGCUGGGAACCUGCUUGGGUCACCCCAAACCUGUGUCCGGGGUGUGGCUCACAGAUCCCCACUGCCCAGCUCGGAGGACGACUCCUCCCAAUCUUGAAGCCGCCUUGAAAUGGAGCUGUGGAGAGGAGAUGCGUCCAGACUUGGAAGCUUCUAGAACUGAACCAGGCUGCUCGGGACCUGUGUUCAGGGCCCGACCCCCCUCCCUCCCCCGGCCGCCUUUUCUUUGUGGAGGUUCCUAAUCUGCUGCUGAAGCACAAUAUUUUGGUGCUUUCUUUUCUCAUUUGUUAAAGACAGUGUCCAAAGCCAUUCCAGAUGCCAGGACCAGGGGCCUGUUUCUGGGGAAGCUUGAACAUGUUGACUGAGCUGAUGGGAGGAGCCGGGGACGUGGCUGUGCGGACACACAACCCGAGGGGCAAGGGCAUGGUUAAGACCAGAAGAUCGUGCGCGUCUCCAAGACACCUAGUCCCCUCCAGCCCCCAAAGCCAGGGUUGGAAUGGCCUCUGUGACAUACCCCACUGGGGUCUGAGGACAGCUCCCUUCCACUGAGUUUUUUUCGUCCCAGUCUACCUCCCCCUGUGGCGCUGGCUGGCUCUGCUCUCAGUAAGCCUAGCUUCUCCUUCAUGUGACAGCCCUUGAAGACUGGGGACAACCUGCAUGUCCUUCCUAAGCCUCUGCCAGGAUACAGACCUCCACUCCUUGCUGAGUUCAGUGCUGCUUUAGCGUGCGGACAGGGCCAGAGUCCCUCCGCUCUCCACAGACAGCCCAGCUGACUUUGGCAGGACACCCUGCCUGUACCAGGACAUGGUUCAGGAAUCAAGCUGUGUGGAAGCAAGCGAGCUGGGGCCUGUGAGCCACGUCACCCAGAAGAGCACGGAGCCGCGGGGGACGGUGCUGUGACGCAGCGUGGACUUCCCCCCCACCAGCACACCUUGCGCCCUGGCCCCUCAGCCCUGGGGAAGCCUGGAGGCCCCCAGCUCCAGGGACCUGAGAAUGGCACAGGACCAAGGCUCUCAUCCCAGCCCCGUCGCGGCACCAGCCUGCCUUUCCACGUCGGCUCCCACCGUGCCCUGCCUGAGACGCCCUCUCCUCGUCUCCAGCCGACAGCUUACUCCCUUUCAUUCUUUGGGGUGCAGUUCUUGUGUCACCUCCCUACAGAGACUUCCCUGACGUCCCUGAGGGGGGACUGUCUCAUUCCCUGUGCUUCCUGUCUGGACUGUGAGCCCCUGGGGGCAGGGGCAGUGGUCUGUCCCUGCUCUACCCCAGUGCCCAGCACAGGCUGGCAUGGAUCAGACGUUCCUUCACAUCUGAUCAGUGAAUGCAUGAAAGCGGGCGGGGGGGAUCCUGACUCCUUCCCGGCCUGCCCGAGCUGCAGCGAAGCCCCCUGACCCCAGCUCCUCCUCCAAAGCUCAGCUGCUUCGGGAGUGCGCCUGUGUGCGUCACAUCACCACCAAGUGACCGUGUUCUGGACCUCGGCUCCACUCAGUGCAGCCUUUGUCCGUCUCCAGUUUCUAGUGGCUUCUGUUCCCUGCCACCCCAGGGCACCUAGGGCAGUGGCCCACCUGGCUGGUGGAGAGGUUGAAGUGCAUGGCGAUGGCGUAGGAGGUGUCCAUGAAGAUGUCGGGCAUGCUCACCAGGUCUUCGAUGGCCUGCAGCUUCAGGCCCAGGAGGUGGCGGUCGAAGGCCUCCCCACGGAUGGCCUGCAGGAAGGGGAGCUGUCAGGAACAGGGGCUUCAGGCCCACGAGGCACCGCUGCCCUCCUCAGGAGCCCAUGGCGGCAAUGCCUCUUCCAUUCACUGGCCCCUCAGACCCGUGAGACCAGGGCAGCCAAGCAGAAGAGCCCUCACUUCACAGAUGGGGAAACUGAGGCCCAGGGACCCACCCAGGGAGGCAGGAAGGUGCAGCCUAAGAGCACAGGACUGCAGCUGGGUGGCAUCAUCCUGGCAGGGACCUUGGCAGGUCACUUACAUCUUGAAGCCUCAGUGUCUUCAUCUGUGAAAUAGGGACAGUCACUAAACUCCCUUUGCGGGGCGGCAGUGAGAUCUAGAUAGACCUCUGCAUGUGACAUGGGCAAAGCCUGGCAUGUACAAGUGCUCAGGGCCAGGAUGGGAACCAGACCUCCACCCCUGGACUGCAGCCCAAGCUGUCAGAGGGCAGGACCCCUGCUGUCUGCCAGCCCGUGCACACCCUCAGCAUCCUGGGCUCCAGGGGCAUCGGGGAAGCCGUGAUGACGCAAGAUCCAGAGGCCGACCCGGGCAGCCACUGGGCCUCGCCUUGGUUUCUCCCACUGUAAAAUGGGGAUGUUCAGCUUUGCUCCAAGUGCCCCAAGCCUUAGGGGAGGGGUGUCUGAUGCUAAGGGGAGCAGCCAUUGGCUGCAGGGAUGGACAGGCAGGUGGACAGGCCAGUGGGAAACGCCCGGGUCACGCAAGCAGGGACAGGAAGGGCCGGCUCACCUGCUCGGUGUAGGCUCGGUGGGCCUGCACGGCCUUCCGCAGCAGCCCCACCUUCUGGUGCUCCUGGGCAGGGGGAGGGGACAGGGAGCUGCAGCUUCCUGUUCUUGCCACCUUCCUCAGUGGCCCACUCCCCACUCUAGAUUCUGAGCUCCCUGAGACCAGGAACUGGAGCUGCCAUCUCUCUGGCCAGCCCCCAGCCAAGGCCUGACACAGGGCAAGUGCUCACUGCUGAUGACUGACCCUUGAACAACUCGGGUUUGAACUGUGCGGGUCCACUUACACGUGGAUUGUUUUCAAUAAAUUCGACAGUAUGACAUGACCCGUGGUGGGUUGAACCUGCAGGUGCAGAACCAUGGACACAGAGCUGACUACAAAGUUACAUGUGGAUUUCUGCGGUGACCCUAACCCCUAUGUUGUUCAAGGGUCCACUGCAGUUUCCUUUUCUCUUUGGCUGAAAGAAAGCUCCACGCUGAUAAAUUCAUGGCUCCAUCUCCCCCUAGAUGCCCAGUAUCCACCACAGGACUGGAACACAAUAGGUGCUCACUGCGUGUUGACAGAAUGAGCAGGAAGGGAGAAGGCUCGAACCCAGCUCUCCCACCCUUGCCCCGGACCUCUCACCGUCACA